rfam:Ictidomys tridecemlineatus contig059887, whole genome shotgun sequence.
GGAGUUGUGGCUUAGUCAUAGAGCGUGCACCUAGCACAUGUAAGGCCCUGGGUUCGAUCCUCAGCACCACUA